rnacentral:rRNA from 1 species
AGAGUUUGAUCAUGGCUCAGGAUGAACGCUAGCGGCAGGCCUAAUACAUGCAAGUCGAGCGGCAAGUCGAGGAGUAAUCUGAGACCUAGAGCGGCGCACGGGUGCGUAACGCGUAUGUAACCUACCCUAUACAGGGGGAUAGCCCGGAGAAAUCUGGAUUAAUACCCCAUGGCACUGCGUUUCAGCAUUGGGAUGCAGUUAAAGAUUUAUCGGUAUAGGAUGGACAUGCGUCUGAUUAGCUAGUUGGCGGUGUAACGGACCACCAAGGCGACGAUCAGUAGGGGUUCUGAGAGGAAGGUCCCCCACACUGGCACUGAGAUACGGGCCAGACUCCUACGGGAGGCAGCAGUAGGGAAUAUUGGGCAAUGGACGAGAGUCUGACCCAGCCAUGCCGCGUGCAGGAAGAAGGCGUUCUGCGUUGUAAACUGCUUUUAUCUGGGAAGAAAAGGCCCAUGCGUGGGACAUUGCCGGUACCAGAUGAAUAAGCACCGGCUAACUCCGUGCCAGCAGCCGCGGUAAUACGGAGGGUGCAAGCGUUGUCCGGAUUUAUUGGGUUUAAAGGGUGCGUAGGCGGUUGAUUAAGUCAGUGGUGAAAGUUUUGGGCUCAACCCAGAAAUUGCCAUUGAUACUGGUCGACUUGAGUAUUGCUGGGGUACAUGGAAUUGAUGGUGUAGCGGUGAAAUGCAUAGAUACCAUCAGGAACACCGAUAGCGAAGGCAUUGUACUGGGCAACCACUGACGCUGAUGCACGAAAGCAUGGGGAGCGAACAGGAUUAGAUACCCUGGUAGUCCAUGCCGUAAACGAUGAUUACUCGCUGUUAUGCUCUCGUAGUGUAGCGGCCAAGCGAAAGCGUUAAGUAAUCCACCUGGGGAGUACGCCCGCAAGGGUGAAACUCAAAGGAAUUGACGG